CUCACGCUGUUCGCCGAUGAGCAGCUCUUGUUGUGGUGCCAAACUUCUGCUGUAAGCUUGCAGCUUUGAUUUAUUCCUCCUGCCUUGCUCUGACAAACUUCCUGAUUUAUGCUUUGUUUGGGAAGCGUUUCGAUUUCUACCAGCGUAGCGAAGUGAGCCCGUGCUGCAUAAAGGGCAAAUGGAGCCAUUCAAUAAACCGUGCCGUAAAAGAUGUCCUCCAUGGCGGACGUGUCAUCCCGGAGCAGGAACCAAACAAAUAGAUCUGUCAGAGGCAGGACCAGCGGUCUUCAGCCCCCACAAACCGGCCUGGAGCCUGCCACACAAAGCCAGGCAACCUCGAGCUGUGACCCAGUGCACGUCUUCCACCCCAUCGAAUAAGAAAAACAUUAAAGGGGGGAUGCAACGCAUACUUCAGAGACAGAGCUGAUGGACACGUGGAGAGAUGAAGAAACAUUUUGUUCCUGACACAGACUGCAUUGAGUGGCAAGCUGCUCCUCACAGCCUUCCGGUGGUAACAGCAAGAUCCGUCAAGCCAGGCUGAUUGCCACGCUGGAAAAGAAUGGCACUGUAAUUCCCAACAGGAGAACACAAAGCAGGGGGCAAUGACUUCAAGCUUCAGGAGAACUUAAUACUGUAAAGAUGCAUAACGGAAGGUCUUGCAUCACUAAUGUGGUCAAAGUAGAUUAGAGGGUUAGUUGAUCACAAUUGUA